rnacentral:rRNA from 1 species
AUGGACUGGUUGAAGGAUCAAUUAAACAUGUUUAUGUUCAGUUUAUACAGUGAAUCUCCUAAACCAUCAGAAUUCUGGAUCCCCAUUGCUGCAUACCUCACUGUUGGUAUACUCAGUCUUUUGAUGUUUUUGUACCUCUUCUCGUUGUGGAGGCGAAAGAUCAGUGUAAGCUGGAUGAAAGUGAUCGCCCGGUCAAAAAGGAGAAACUUCGAGAGAAAUCAAAAGGUCCCUACUGCUGAACAUAUAUGGUCUGCAGAAUCUCUACUUCGUGCAAAAGGACUGAGGUGCUGUGUGUGCCUAGAAUCUAUUACACCUGCUCAGCCCCUUGGGACAGUGAUAACAUCAGAGAACAUGGUUCACCGCUGUGAUGUUUGUGGUGCCGCUGCGCACACGAUCUGCUCUUCAUACUCUCAGAGGGACUGCAAAUGUGUCUCGUUGCUGGGUUGGAAGCAUGUAGUCCACCAAUGGACCGUGCUGUGGACCGAUAUAGCUGACCAGCCUGAAGAAGCUCAGUAUUGUAGCUACUGUGAGGAGCCAUGCAAUGGGUCUUUUCUUGGAGGUCCAAUAUACUGCUGCAUGUGGUGCCAACGGCUGGUGCACGUUGAUUGCCACUCAAGCAUGUCUACCGAGACAGGCGAUGUUUGCGACCUCGGUCCAUUCAGACGCCUAAUUCUUUCCCCACUUCACGUUGGGGCCAAGAACAAGCCUGGUGGGAUUUUAAGUUCUAUAACUCAAGGUGCAAAUGAGCUUGCGUCCACCGUGCGGGGACAUCUUAGGAACCGAGGUAAAAGGCAGAAAUAUGAUAAAAGAUUGUCUUCUGACUCUAUGGCUGGUGAGAGCAACGAUGAUUCAUCAAGCGAUACCGCACCAUAUUCUAACCAGAGGGCCAAGGAAUUAAAAACAAAUGUUGGCAGUGUUCAGAGGCAUGCUGAGAAUGAACAUGAUAGUAGCGAGAGCGAUUGUAAAGAGGUCGUAUCAGAACCGAGAAGACUCCAUAAUGAUGACACAGGAGGAGCCAAACUCAAGUAUGUGUUGACUGACCUGCCUGCUGAUGCCAGACCUCUUCUAGUAUUUAUCAACAAGAGAAGUGGAGCUCAGCGUGGAGAUUCUCUCAAGCACCGGCUACAUUUCCUUUUGAACCCGGUGCAGGUGUUUGAGUUGAGUUCAUCACAAGGGCCAGAGGCAGGAUUAUUGUUGUUCCGAAAGGUACCACAUUUCAGAAUACUUGUGUGUGGUGGCGACGGUACUGUUGGUUGGGUUCUCGAUGCAAUAGAUAGACAAAAUUAUGCAUCACCUCCGCCUGUUGCAAUUCUUCCAGCUGGCACUGGCAAUGAUCUUUCAAGGGUUUUAUCAUGGGGAGGCGGUCUCGGUUCUGUUGAGAAGCAAGGUGGCCUCUGCACAGUUCUGCAUGACAUAGAGCAUGCGGCAGUCACCAUUCUAGACAGAUGGAAGGUAACAGUAGAAGAUAAGCAAGCACAGAACGUGCUUUUGGUGAAGUACAUGAAUAAUUAUCUAGGUAUUGGUUGCGAUGCAAAGGUUGCACUUGACAUUCAUAAUCUCCGCGAGGAAAAUCCAGACAAGUUCUACAGUCAGUUCCUAAACAAGGUGCUGUAUGCAAGGGAAGGCGCAAAGAGUAUCAUCGAUAGGACAUUCGCAGACCUACCUUGGCAAGUUAGGCUAGAGGUUGACGGAGCUGAGAUCGAUAUACCAGAGGAUUCAGAAGGCGUCCUCAUUGCAAACAUCCCAAGCUAUAUGGGAGGGGUUGACUUGUGGCAGAACGAGGAGGAGAAUCUCGACAACUUUGACCCACAGUCGAUCCAUGACAAGAUGCUUGAAGUAGUUAGCAUCAGUGGAACCUGGCACCUGGGGACACUUCAGGUCGGUCUUUCUCGUGCGCGGAGGAUCGCUCAGGGCCAAUCGAUCAAGCUACGGUUCUCUGCCCCUUUCCCGGUUCAGGUGGACGGGGAACCUUGGGUCCAGCACUCGUGCACGCUGAAGAUAUCCCAUCAUGGACAGGUCCGGAAACUGCCAGAGUGCGACUAUGAUGAUUUGGAAACUGCUCUGCUUCUUCUAACUCUGCCUCUGUGCUCGUGUCGUUCAGGCUUUCAUGCUAAAGCGAGCAAUCGAGUCGUCGCUUGGCCAUGCCACCGCGAUCGUCACGGACGUGCUUGA